AUACAGAGGGUGCGAGCGUUAAUCGGAAUUACUGGGCGUAAAGCGCGCGUAGGUGGUUAUGUAAGUCGGAUGUGAAAGCCCCGGGCUUAACCUGGGAAUUGCAUUCGAAACUGCAUGGCUAGAGUCUGAUAGAGGGAAGUGGAAUUUCCGGUGUAGCGGUGAAAUGCGUAGAUAUCGGAAGGAACACCAGUGGCGAAGGCGGCUUCCUGGAUCAAGACUGACGCUGAGGUGCGAAAGCGUGGGGAGCAAACAGGAUUAGAUACCCGAGUAGUCC
rnacentral:rRNA from 1 species